rnacentral:sRNA from 1 species
UCGAUAAGUGUACUCCAUGGCCUCUUGU